rnacentral:rRNA from 1 species
AUACAGAGGGUGCAAGCGUUAUUCGGAAUCACUGGGCGUAAAGCGCGCGUAGGCGGAUGAUUAAGUCAGUUGUGAAAGCCCUGGGCUCAACCUAGGAACUGCAUCUGAUACUGGUCAUCUAGAGUUUAAGAGAGGGAAGUGGAAUUCCAGGUGUAGCAGUGAAAUGCGUAGAUAUCUGGAGGAACAUCAGUGGCGAAGGCGACUUCCUGGCUUAGAACUGACGCUGAGGUGCGAAAGCGUGGGUAGCGAACGGGAUUAGAAACCCCAGUAGUCC